ensembl:snoRNA
AUCCUUUUGUAGUUCAUAAAUAUGAUGAUUGGGUUUUCAGGUGCAUGCGUGAGAUGUGCCUCCUACAAAUCUUGUUACAUCAGCACAUUACCCGUCUAACA